rnacentral:lncRNA from 1 species
AAAUAAUAAUGAGGAGAUUAGCACACCUGGCUUCUCUACACAUCCAGAGAAACAGACAAUGAAAGAAGUCCGAUGUCAUCGAUCUGCUCGCCAAAACAAUGGUGCGUUUGCUGUUCGCCAAGUUAACUGUAAGUUCAGUGUCUGAACCUGGUUCCAUCUAUUUAAGAAGAUGAUGAGGUUCUGCUUUGCCUCGUGCCGUUGGGUUGCAGGAGAACAUGGAGCGCAGCUCUGGCUUUGAGUUCACCUUCACUUUGAUCAUGUCAUUUCCCUCCCUCGUGCUGGUGGCUUCACAAGUUGCCCACCAUAAGAAUGAAGAACUGCACUGAACAUCAGCUGAUGGCAGGGAACG